UACGUAGGGACCGAGCGUUGUCCGGAAUCAUUGGGCGUAAAGAGCGUGUAGGCGGCCACUUAAGUCCUGCGUGAAAUCUUGCGGCUCAACCGCAAGCGGUCGUGGGAAACUGGGUGGCUAGAGUGCGGGAGAGGAGAGUGGAAUUCCUGGUGUAGCGGUGGGAUGCGCAGAUAUCAGGAAGAACACCCGUGGCGAAGGCGGCUCUCUGGAACGCAACUGACGCUGAGACGCGAAAGCGUGGGGAGCGAACAGG
rnacentral:rRNA from 1 species